rnacentral:rRNA from 1 species
GACGAACGCUGGCGGCGUGCUUAACACAUGCAAGUCGAACGGAAAGGCCUCUUUCGGGGGGUACUCGAGUGGCGAACGGGUGAGUAACACGUGAGUAACCUGCCCUUGACUUUGGGAUAACUUCAGGAAACUGGGGCUAAUACCGGAUAGGAGCUCCUGCUGCAUGGUGGGGGUUGGAAAGUUUCGGCGGUUGGGGAUGGACUCGCGGCUUAUCAGCUUGUUGGUGGGGUAGUGGCUUACCAAGGCUUUGACGGGUAGCCGGCCUGAGAGGGUGACCGGCCACAUUGGGACUGAGAUACGGCCCAGACUCCUACGGGAGGCAGCAGUGGGGAAUAUUGCACAAUGGGUGGAAGCCUGAUGCAGCAACGCCGUGUGCGGGAUGACAGCCUUCGGGUUGUAAACCGCUUUCGCUCAUGACGAAGCUUUGUGUGACGGUAGUGGGUAAAGAAGCACCGGCUAACUACGUG